UAGCGGAGGAAAAGAAACCAACAGGGAUUGCCCUAGUAACGGCGAGUGAAGCGGCAACAGCUCAAAUUUGAAAUCUGGCCUUCGGGUCCGAGUUGUAAUUUGUAGAGGAUGCUUUUGGUGCGGUGCCUUCCGAGUUCCCUGGAACGGGACGCCAUAGAGGGUGAGAGCCCCGUCUGGUUGGAUACCAAUCCUCUGUAAAGCUCCUUCGACGAGUCGAGUAGUUUGGGAAUGCUGCUCUAAAUGGGAGGUAUAUGUCUUCUAAAGCUAAAUACCGGCCAGAGACCGAUAGCGCACAAGUAGAGUGAUCGAAAGAUGAAAAGCACUUUGAAAAGAGAGUUAAAAAGUACGUGAAAUUGUUGAAAGGGAAGCGCUUGUGACCAGACUUGGGCUUGGUUGAUCAUCCUGGGUUCUCCCUGGUGCACUCUUCCAGUCCAGGCCAGCAUCAGUUUGCUUCGGGGGAUAAAGGCUUCGGGAAUGUGGCUCCUUCGGGAGUGUUAUAGCCCGUUGUGUAAUACCCUGAGGCAGACUGAGGUUCGCGCUCUGCAAGGAUGCUGGCGUAAUGGUCAUCAGCGACCCGUCUUAAACCAGG
rnacentral:rRNA from 1 species